CAGCUUCUCUAACAUAUAUUUGUCGCACAAAUGAGCAUAAAAAAGGGAAGAGCUGCUUUAGAUCCAAUCAAUCUUAAAAACAUUGAUUUGAUGGAAGAAUGGGUAGGUGAAGAAUCUGAGCUUCUUAAUGGAGAAGAUUUGGAUUGGGCAAGUAUUGAGGAGCCAUUAGCCUCACUAAAUGAGGAAGACAAUGAAAA